CAGGGACCCCCCUCAAAAGGAGACACCUCGACACACAAGAACAACUCUAGUUCAUCAAAUACAAACCAACACACAGGACGUAGGGUAUUACGCGAUCUAGCGGCCCGAACCUGUCUAAAUCGUGUUCCUUGUGUCACCAUUGAUUCCUUGAUUCUCGACGACCCUUACCGCAUAAAAGACCACCUAGGGUACCCCCUAGGCGGGUUGCUGGUCUAAAACACCGACAGCUGGCGCGCCAGGUAGGGG
rnacentral:lncRNA from 1 species